CCUCCAGGCGGCUGCGACCCGGUUGCCGAACGCUGAGGCUCUGUCACGUGUUUUUCUCCUCCGAGUGAGACGGCGGCGCGGUCGGAGGGGGCCGGCGCACAGAGCCAGACGCCGCCGCUUGUUUUGGUUGGGGCUCUCGGCAACUCUCCGAGGAGGAGGAGAAGGAGGAGGAGAGAAGUAACUGCAGCGGGAGAGCCUCCGGGGGAACAGGCGUCUUCCCCGAAUCCUUCCCAAACCUCCCCCCUCGCCUCCCGCCCUUGUCCCCUCCCCUCUUCCUCUGCCGACUGGAGCGCGGGGCAGGGAUGAGCCUGUCCCUCCGACCGUCACCGGCUCCCUUGGCUGCCCAGUAGCAUUUCUCAUGGAAAAGCUACUUUCUCCGCCCGCCGAUAUGGGCCCAAAUGGGGACUGCAGAGGACUCGUCCGAGGGAGGCGACAUCAGCAACAGCCGCAGCGCCGCGGUCUCUGCGAUUGAGCUGGUAUUUGGGCUGCUGGUGGCGGCGGGGACUGUUGGGGCGGGGGUGGGAGGAGGCGGAGGAGGAGGCGAAGGAGGAGGAGGGAGAACCCUGUGCAACGUUGGGACUUGGCAACCCGCCUCCCCCUGCCCAAGGAUAUUUAAUUUGCCUCGGGAAUCGCUACUUCCAGAGGGGAACUCAGGAGGGAAGGCGCGCGCGCCUGGAGGGGCAACGCGGAGAGACCCCAGGCUGCCGCCGCCUUGCGCCGGACUCCAGCGGGGCAGCGAGAGAGGAUGCAUCUUUGCUCCCUCCCUGGCGCGGUGGCUCAGAGGAGUCUUGGCUCUCGGAGGAUCGCGGCUGCACUCACCCGGGACCCAUUGCCUACCCCCUUGGGCGUGAAACGCCCGUAAACUCCGCUCGGGCUAUCUCCUUAGCGCAGCUGCUGCGUCCUUCUCCGGCGCCGGGGCCGCGUGGAUUUCGGAUCCGGGUUUCUGCCGCUUCCAGCCCUGUUUGCAUGUGCGGGGCCGCGGCGAGGAGCCUCCUCCCCCCACCCAGUUGUUUUUCGGCGCCUCCGUCUGCUCGGCGGCGGUGGCUGCGGCAGCAUGGCGAGCCCUCCGGAGACCGACGGCUUCUCGGACGUGCGCAAGGUUGGCUACCUGCGCAAACCCAAGAGCAUGCACAAGCGCUUUUUCGUGCUGCGAGCGGCCAGCGAGGCUGGGGGUCCGGCGCGCCUGGAGUACUACGAGAACGAGAAGAAGUGGCGGCACAAGUCGAGCGCCCCCAAACGCUCGAUCCCCCUUGAGAGCUGCUUCAACAUCAACAAGCGGGCUGACUCCAAGAAUAAGCACCUGGUGGCUCUCUACACCCGGGACGAACACUUCGCCAUCGCGGCCGACAGUGAGGCGGAGCAAGACAGCUGGUACCAGGCUCUCCUGCAGCUGCACAACCGCGCCAAGGGCCACCACGAUGCGGCCGCAGCCCCUGGGAUGGGAGGCGGCGGGGGCAGCUGCAGCAGCAGUUCGGCCCUGGGCGAGGCUGGGGAGGACUUGAGCUAUGGGGAUGUGCCCCCAGGACCCGCCUUCAAAGAGGUCUGGCAGGUGAUCCUGAAACCCAAGGGCCUGGGUCAGACGAAGAACCUGAUUGGCAUCUACCGUCUCUGCCUGACCAGCAAGACCAUCAGCUUCGUGAAGCUUAACUCGGAGGCAGCUGCUGUGGUGCUGCAGCUGAUGAACAUCAGGCGCUGUGGCCACUCGGAGAACUUCUUCUUCAUCGAGGUGGGCCGUUCGGCUGUGACAGGGCCCGGGGAGUUCUGGAUGCAGGUGGAUGACUCGGUGGUGGCCCAGAAUAUGCAUGAGACCAUCCUGGAGGCCAUGCGGGCUAUGAGUGAUGAGUUCCGCCCGCGCAGCAAGAGCCAGUCCUCAUCCAACUGCUCCAACCCCAUCAGCGUCCCCCUGCGCAGGCACCAUCUCAACAACCCCCCACCUAGCCAGGUGGGGCUGACCCGCCGGUCACGCACGGAGAGCAUCACUGCCACCUCCCCGGCCAGCAUGGUGGGCGGGAAGCCAGGGUCCUUUCGUGUCCGCGCCUCCAGCGACGGAGAAGGCACGAUGUCCCGCCCGGCCUCUGUGGACGGUAGCCCUGUGAGCCCGAGCACCAACAGGACGCAUGCCCAUCGGCAUCGGGGCAGCGCCCGGCUGCACCCCCCGCUCAACCACAGUCGCUCCAUCCCCAUGCCUUCCUCUCGAUGCUCUCCUUCAGCCACUAGCCCUGUCAGUCUGUCGUCCAGCAGCACCAGUGGCCAUGGCUCCACCUCGGACUGUCUCUUCCCACGGCGGUCUAGCGCUUCUGUGUCGGGUUCCCCCAGUGAUGGCGGUUUCAUCUCCUCGGAUGAGUAUGGGUCCAGUCCCUGCGAUUUCCGAAGUUCCUUCCGCAGUGUCACUCCAGACUCCCUAGGCCACACCCCACCAGCCCGUGGUGAGGAGGAGCUGAGCAACUAUAUCUGCAUGGGUGGCAAGGGGACCUCCACCCUGACCGCCCCCAACGGCCACUACAUUUUGUCUCGGGGUGGCAAUGGCCACCGCUACAUUCCGGGAGCUGGCUUGGGCACCAGUCCAGCCUUGGCUGGGGAUGAAGCAGCCAGCGCUGCAGAUCUGGAUAAUCGAUUCCGAAAGAGAACUCACUCGGCAGGCACAUCCCCCACCAUUUCCCACCAGAAGACCCCGUCCCAGUCAUCGGUGGCUUCCAUUGAGGAGUAUACGGAGAUGAUGCCCGCCUACCCACCAGGAGGUGGCAGUGGAGGCCGCCUGCCGGGCCACCGGCACUCUGCCUUUGUGCCCACCCACUCCUACCCGGAGGAGGGUCUGGAAAUGCACCCCUUGGAGCGUCAGAGGGGCCAUCACCGCCCAGACACCUCCAGCCUCCACACUGACGACGGCUAUAUGCCCAUGUCUCCAGGGGUGGCCCCAGUGCCUGGCAGCAGAAAGGGCAGUGGGGACUAUAUGCCCAUGAGCCCCAAGAGUGUGUCUGCCCCCCAGCAGAUCAUCAACCCCAUCAGACGCCAUCCCCAGAGAGUGGACCCCAAUGGCUACAUGAUGAUGUCACCCAGUGGCAGCUGCUCCCCUGACCUUGGAGGUGGGCCCAGCAGCGGCAGCAGUGCUGCCCCCUCUGGGAGCAGCUAUGGGAAGCUUUGGACAAAUGGUGUUGGAGGCCACCACUCUCAAGCCCUGCCCCACCCCAAACCCCCCAGGGAAAGCAGCAGUGGCAAGCUUUUGCCUUGCACAGGGGACUACAUGAACAUGUCCCCAGUGGGGGACUCCAACACCAGCAGCCCCUCCAGCUGCUACUACGGCCCUGAGUACCCCCAGCACAAGCCAGUCCUCUCCUACUACUCAUUGCCAAGGUCAUUUAAGCACACCCAGCGCCCUGGGGAGUUAGAGGAGGGUGCCCGGCACCAGCACCUCCGCCUUUCUUCCAGCUCUGGCCGUCUUCUCUAUGCUGCAGCAGCAGAAGAUUCUUCUUCCUCCACCAGCAGCGACAGCCUGGGUGGGGGAUACUGUGGGGCUAGGCAGGAGCCAGGGCUCCCAUAUACCCACCAUCAAGUCUUGCAGCCCCAUCUGCCUCGAAAAGUGGACACAGCUGCACAGACCAACAGCCGCCUGGCUCGGCCCACGAGGCUGUCCCUGGGGGAUCCCAAGGCCAGCACCUUACCUCGGGCCCGAGAGCAGCAGCAGCCCCUGUUACACCCUCCGGAGCCUAAGAGCCCAGGGGAAUACGUGAAUAUUGAAUUUGGGAGUGAUCAGCCUGGCUAUUUGUCUGGCCCCGUGGCUUCCCACAGCUUGUCUUCAAUCAGGUGUCCAUCCCAGCUCCAGCCAAUUCCCAGGGAGGAAGAGACUGGCACUGAGGAGUACAUGAAAAUGGACCUGGGGCCAGGCCGGAGGGCAGCUUGGCAGGAGAGCACUGGGGCUGAGAUGGGCAGAGUGGGUCCAGCGCCUCCUGGGGCUGCUAGUGUUUGCAGGCCCACCCGAGCAGUACCCAGCAGUCGGGGUGACUACAUGACCAUGCAGAUGGGUUGUCCCCGUCAGAACUACGUGGACACCUCCCCAGUUGCUCCUGUCAGCUAUGCUGACAUGCGGACAGGCAUUGCUGCAGAGGUGAGCCCACCCCGGGCUGCCACAGCUGCUCCCUCAUCCUCAGCUGCCUCUGCUUCCCCUGCUGCGCCUCAAGGGACAGCUGAGCCGGCUGCUCGCUCAUCCCUGCUAGGGGGCCCACAGGGACCCGGGGGUAUGAGCGCCUUCACCCGGGUAAACCUCAGUCCCAACUGCAACCAGAGUGCCAAAGUAAUCCGUGCAGACCCACAAGGGUGCCGGAGGAGGCAUAGCUCGGAGACCUUCUCCUCCACACCUAGUGCCACCAGGGCAGCCAACACAGUGCCCUUCGGAGGAGGGGCUGUAGUAGGGAGUAGCGGUGGCAGCAGCAGUGAGGAUGUGAAACGCCACAGCUCUGCUUCCUUUGAGAAUGUGUGGCUAAAGCCUGGGGAGCUUGGGGGAGCCCCCAAAGAACCAACCCAAGUGUGUGGGGCUGCUGGGGGUUUGGAGAAUGGUCUUAACUAUAUAGACCUGGAUUUGGUCAAGGACUUCAAGCAGCGCCCUCAGGAGCGCCCCCCUCAAGCGCAGCCUCCCCCACCCCCAUCCCCUCAUCCGCCCCUGGGCAGCGGUGAGAGCAGCUCCACCCGCCGCUCCAGUGAGGAUUUAAGCGCCUAUGCCAGCAUCAGUUUCCAGAAGCAGCCAGAGGCCCGCCAGUAGCUCAACUGGACAUCACACAGCAGUUCUGGAGCCUGGGAAGUCCAAGAUCCAGGCACUGCAGAUUUGGCAUCAAGUGAGGACUCCCUUCCUGGUUUGCAGAUGGCCGUCUUCUCACUGCAUCUUCUCAUGGUGGAGAGUGGAGAGCAGAGAGCAAGCCCUGGUGCCUUCUCCCAGAAGGGCUCUGCUCCCACUCAUAAUGAAGACCUUAAUGACCUCAGCAAAUCCUCCUCUAACUCAUGGGUACCCAGACUCUAAAUAUUUCAUGAUUCACAACUAGGACCUCAUAUUUUUCUCCUCGGUAGAUGGUACGAUGCAUCCAUUUCAGUUUGUUUACUUUAUACAAGCCUCAGGAGUUCGUUGACUGAACUGCGCGUUCUAUAUUGCAAAAAAGCACUGUGACACCAGAACGAUGAGUCUGCAUAAAUUUCACCUUCACCCGUAAGGACGCAGCUGGCCACAGUGAGCUGACGUGCCCACCACCGUGCCACGAGAGAAAGGGUUUCCUCUCACUGCAUCUGCAAGAUACAUUUCAUCUGUUGCUGAAACUGUGUAUGACAAAGCGUCCUUGUAAAUUAUUUCAUAGAAAACUGUUCAUGUCGGGUGGAGAGAGUAUUAAAUAUUUAACAUAGGUUUUGAUUUAUAUGUGUAAUUUUUUUAAUGAAAAUGUAACUUUUCUUACAGCACAUCUUUUUUUUGGAUGUGGGACUGAGGUAUACAGUGUUCUGUUGUAAAGAAUGGAGCAAAUGCUUAAAACAAGGCUAAAAAGAUUAGGAUAGGGUAUGGUCUUUGUUUUAAGAUUGUAACUCAGAAAAAUAAUAUAAUAAGAAUCAUAGUGCCAUAGAUGGUUCUCAGUUGUAUAGUUAUAUUUGCUGAUACUAUCUCUUGUAAUAUAAACCUAAUAUUGAGCUGAGUUCCUUAUAAGAAUUAAUCUUAAUUUUGUAUUUUUCCUGUAAGACAAAUAGGCCGUGUUAAUUAAACUGUAGAAAGGUGUAUUCUGCUGGGUGUUUUUCAACUGUCAGCUUAAAAUUGGCGUUUGAGUGGAAGCAAAAUUACAACAACAGGAAUUCAAAGUCUUCCAUCGUAAAUACUGUCAAGAUGAGGAGACAUGGGUGAUUCCUUCAAAUCAAAAGCUGUCCUUGGAAUGAACAAUGUGGGUGUUUGUAAAUUCUGGAAAUGUCUUUCUAUUCAUAAUAAACUAGAUACUGU